CGUUCGAGAUGCGAAUUAUUUCCAAGCUUAUUCAUCGCAUAAUGUGCCAGGUGCUUCGUAGGCCUAAAAUUUCGAAUGUUUCGUCACUCGUAUACACUGAAGAUGAAUCAGAUUCCGUUGACGUAACAGACUAUCCAGAAAAUGUACCGGAGCUCGAGUCAAAUACGUUGAACUGCAGGUGUCUCAGCGUUGUUGCAUCCCAAUCAUCGUUAACUUCGAACAUCAAACCUAACCUCAGAUGUAUUUCGUUCGCUGUAACGUAGCUCGGUUCUAAAUGCAAUACUCGUUGAAAUGAUUUCAGGGCCCUGUAACAUGAAAAAAAAUUAAUUAAUCGAUAAUAUUGUAACUAGAUCUAUACUCCUAACUCCUAACGAUAUUAUUAUCAUCAAUGAACGAAUUCUCGAUUACUCAUCGACCAAUAAAUUAAAUUACGGAUACGAUCA